rnacentral:lncRNA from 11 species
CUGCCUGGAAGAGUCCUUUGUUGAAAGGUGAUUAGCUGUCCCUGAUUGUUUCUUGUCUUAUUACUGGCUGUUAGAAAUUGUGGAAGUUGGGAGUCCAAAACACCCGGAGGGCCGAAGUUGGCCAUGCUUGAUGUAGAUGCAUCCUGAGUCUCCCUCAUUCAAAAUGCAUGGGACCAAAAAACAAAAUUGGAUAUGGGAACCCCCCCCCCCCAGAUUCUGAAAGAUUUGUGUCUGCAUAAAGACAUAUAUUGGAGAGGAGACCCCAUGGAAUUCAUUUGUGCUUCAUAUGCACCUAGUACACAUAGCCUGAUGGUCAUUUUAUACACAAUAUUUGUAAUAUGAAACAAAGUUAAUGUCCACUGAACCCUCAGAAUGCAAAGGUGCCACUCUCUCAGCCACCCAAAUGGAAGAUUUUGGAUUUGCUAGUGGUGAACCAAAGCAAAAGGGGAAGGUGCUCUGGAUCUGCACCUGGAGCUACUCUUUGAGGGUUGUCAUUUUUAAUUUAAUUGCCAUGGCUCAAUGCUAUGCAAUGCAGGGAUUUGUAGUUGGUGAGGCAUCAGCAUUCUUUGUCAGCCCCCAUGACUCCAUAGCAUUGAGCCAGGGCAGUUCAAGUGGAUUCAUUCUACAGCAUAGAUGCAUCCCAAGGUUUUCUUUUCCAUUCAGAAAGGGGGGGAAAACAUGAAAAUGAACAAAAUCUAGCUACCAGUAGUUAAAAAACCCUCUAAAAUCAGGACAGUAAAUAAAGAACAACAGUCAGAAAACAGGAAUUCCAAACAGGGAACAAUCAGGGCCAGCUAACACCUCCCAACUGGGCAUGUGCGAUUUCCUCGUAAUUUUCGGAAGUCGUUAAGUAAAUCAGAAGUUUUUUGGCUGCCAAACGGGGUUCCGACGCGUAUUAGCGUGUCGGAUGUAACUUUUAAAUUCAAAGCAUUUAAGCCCAUUAGCUCUAAUUGCUUGGAAAUAGCUAAUUUGUUUUUGAUGCAACCAAACUUUGCAGGGAGGAGAAGCCUAAUCUGGGCUUGCCUCCCUGCCAAUCAGGGCUUACACUUGUAUAAGGGGAGGGUUUUGGAGCAUCCAGAAGUGCUUAAAAGCCCAGCCACAUGGCUUGCAGAUAAACAAGCAAGACAACAGCAAAUAGGCAAGAUUGCUGAGCACAAGCGAAGCCAGGGUGAUGAGAAGAAUGGGGAUUUUGAUGGCAAAUGUGGGGAAAUGGCAGGGGUAUGUCAUGCCUCCCUAGUUCAUUCCUUCCUCCCCCUUUCACAGAAGAACCAAUGGGAAAAAAAUUACAAAACUAGUUUGUUUGUUAUAGCCUACAAAAGUCAAGACUUGUAUUACUAG